rnacentral:rRNA from 1 species
UACGUAGGGUGCAAGCGUUAAUCGGAAUUACUGGGCGUAAAGCGUGUGCAGGCGGUUUUGUAAGUCUGUCGUGAAAGCCCCGGGCUCAACCUGGGAAUUGCGUUGGAGACUGCAAGGCUAGAAUCUGGCAGAGGGGGGUAGAAUUCCACGUGUAGCAGUGAAAUGCGUAGAGAUGUGGAGGAACACCGAUGGCGAAGGCAGCCCCCUGGGUCAAGAUUGACGCUCAUGCACGAAAGCGUGGGGAGCAAACAGG